CUCAGGGCUCAUUUCUACUAAUCACAUUACACCACAGAGUGAGAAGAACACUGAUGCUUGGCGUGUUCAAGAAGCUAUAGAGACAGUGGUUGGUGUUGGGUCAGUUUUUAAUAUAUAUAUUUUAUUUUUUAAAUAAUCGGCGCAUACAAUGAACACCCGCCAACUGCGGGAAGAUUUCGGUUUUGGCUCCACAGUGCCAGCGUUACAUUCACCAAUAAAAUAAAUAGUCUGAAGAAGAAUUCUGCAGUAGCUGUUCAAAGUAUUUCUGUUUUGUUUUGUAGCUGCUAAUUACACUAAUCCUAUAUCCCACCUGGUGCAGCAACACAGCCUGACAGGGGAGCUGAGCUGACAUUCUAUAUCCCACCUGGAGCAGCAACACAGCCUGACAGGGGAGCUGAGCUGACAUCCUAUAUCCCACCUGGAGCAGCAACACAGCCUGACAGGGGAGCUGAGCUGACAUUCUAUAUCCCACCUGGAGCAGGGGAGCUGAGCAGGGGAGCUGAGCUCAUAUUUUAUAUCCCACCUGGAGCAGGGGAGCUGAGCUCACAUUCUAUAUCCCACCUGGUGCAGCAACACAGCCUGACAGGGGAGCUGAGCUCAUAUUCUAUAUCCCACCUGGUGCAGCAACACAGUCUGACAGGGGAGCUGAGCUCAUAUUCUAUAUCCCACCUGGAGCAGCAACACAGUCUGACAGGGGAGCUGAGCUCAUAUUCUAUAUCCCACCUGGAGCAGCAACACAGUCUGACAGGGGAGCUGAGCUCACUGAGUGAAGUGCUGAUAGAUUCAUGCUCAUGAACGUUGGUCUAAUUUACUCAAGUCUACAAAGUGAGACUUUGUCCCUGUGUUUCUUGGCUCUUUCAAUUGUUUUGUUCACAAGCUUGGUUGUUUUUCAAUGUUCGUUUUGAGUCUGCUGCUUCAAUGGAUAGCAAAAACUCCCUAGUCAGAGCCCAAAUAUAUCUCUCUCUCACACACACACACACACACACACAGACACACGACAGAAUGCGAGUGGCCCCGUUACCACGGUAACUUCCCUCUCUUAAAGGGGCAACUGAGCAUUUUGUCUCAGAUAUUUUGAUUUAAAAGACUGAGGUCACAAUUUUAAAUGUAUUAAAUUGUACUUCUUACUAACACAUUUCUUGUUUUAGAAAUAUUACAAAGCAUGAUUGUCAGUUUUUGUUGUAAUUAUGGCCAAAAUAUUUCAGCUGGUUAAUGAAUUUGAGUGGCUGGUUGAUUUUUGUUUCUACCUUCAACAAUGACUGCUGGACCAAAAACAACAUUUUAGGCCCUGUUUUAUAAUCCAGUUUUUAUGGCUUACUUUAAUCAUAUACUGGGACAUCCAUGGCUGUGACGGACAUGACAUGCAGACAGGACUUUUAUCCAGAUCUCUGCUGUUCCCGAGGACUACCAUGUAAAGACAUAAGUUGGUGUCCGUGUUAAAGUGUAAUGAGUUUGAUGCUAUGUCAGACUGCAACACCUUGUGAUUUUACUUUUCUCUCCUUUUUGUUUGCAGUUUGGCUUUGAUAAAUAAAUAAAAAAAUCAAUCACUUGAUGGUUGUAUGACAUGUCCUGUUGGGGGGAAAAAGUUGGAAUAUUGUGUUGGAAUCAAACUUAAGUUCGUUGGCGGGGGGGGCGGUUGUGUUGUAGAAUAGAUUUGUUUUUUAUUUUUAUGAUCACCAUUUGAAGUGCUGAGAUUCUUUAAAUAAUAAUUUUACUAACGCUUUCUGACCACAAGGUGUCGCCAUUUCUCAUCUUUACAAUUCCCCUUGUCGACGGCCCAUAAUAAUAUGCUGUUUAGCACUCUUUUAUCCAAAGGGACUUAGUCAUGCGUGAAUACAUUUUACGUAUGGGUGUAUUCGGGAAUUGAACCCAUUACCCUGUCGUUACAAGCACCGUGCUAUACCAAUGGCGCUACAGAGGACCACCGUGAGAUGGUGCUCCUUUAUAUACUUAGGGGAUUUAGCCCUGUGUGUGUGUCUGUGACCUCUACAGUGAAGGGGGGAUUUAGCCCUGUGUAAGCUGUUUGACAUCUCAGUAGUGGGGGGGGGGGGGAUUUAGCCCGUGUGUGUCUGUGACCUCUACAGUGGGAGGGGGGGAUUUAAGCCGUGUGGUGUCUGACCUCUACAGGGGGGGGGGGGGGUGACCAGAAUUUAAGACUU
ensembl:lncRNA